CAUGGAAACGCCCUGUGCCAGAGUCAAUGUGGUCAGCCUCCCAACUUAGAGAGCAUGAACUUCGAACAUCUGCCGUGGCCAGAGGAGACCAAUGCUGUAAUAGUUGGGAGCUAGCCAAGCCUUAAAGAACCUCAGGUGCCCAUAAUAAGGCUUGAGACAACCCAGAAUUCAGUGCUGACUGAAGCAGUGGAGAUGGAUGAAUUGCCCAGGGAGACUACGCUAAGUGAAAAGAGAAGAGGGCUUAGGAUGGUAAGAAUCCCAAGUAACAAACCAUAAAGCUGGGGAGA